rnacentral:rRNA from 1 species
UACGAAGGGGGGCUAGCGUUGCUCGGAUUUACUGGGCGUAAAGGGCGCGUAGGCGGACAGUUAAGUUGGGGGUGAAAGCCCGGGGCUCAACCUCGGAAUUGCCUUCAAUACUGGCUGUCUUGAGUGUGAGAGAGGUGUGUGGAACUCCGAGUGUAGAGGUGAAAUUCGUAGAUAUUCGGAAGAACACCAGUGGCGAAGGCGACACACUGGCUCACUACUGACGCUGAGGCGCGAAGGCGUGGGGAGCAAACAGG